rnacentral:rRNA from 1 species
AUUGAACGCUGGCGGCAUGCCUUACACAUGCAAGUCGAACGGUAACGCGGGGCAACCUGGCGACGAGUGGCGAACGGGUGAGUAACGCAUCGGAACGUGCCCAGUAGUGGGGGAGAGCCCGGCGAAAGCCGGACUAAUACCGCAUACGACCUACGGGUGAAAGGGGGGGAUCGGAAGACCUCUCGCUAUUGGAGGGGCCGAGGGCAGAUAGGUAGGUGGUGGGGUAAAGGCCCACCAAGCCUUCGAUCUGUAGCUGGUCUGAGAGGACGUCCAGCCACACUGGGACUGAGACACGGCCCAGACUCCUACGGGAGGCAGCAGUGGGGAAUUUUGGACAAUGGGCGCAAGCCUGAUCCAGCCAUGCCGCGUGCGGGAAGAAGGCCUUCGGGUUGUAAACCGCUUUUGUCAGGGAAGAAACGCUCUGGGCUAAUACCCCGGGGUAAUGACGGUACCUGAAGAAUAAGCACCGGCUAACUACGUGCCAGCCGCCGCAGUAA